AAAAAGAAAAACACUUAGCUUGUAACUCCACGUCAGUGUGCCUCUUAGCUGUUGCUUGCCUCUUUGUGUUUGAACCUUUUCCAAUCAAACCAGAAAAAUUCAUGCCUAUUUAACGUAACAUACCUUCCAUCUUCCACUCUCCUUUUCCAGUUUAGAAAUCGCACAGAAUUCCAAGUCACGUAACUGUUAUCUCCUGAUCAUCACUAUCUCCAAGUUGAAAUUUUUAGAUUCAUCAAGCACUUGUCUAAUCUGUUUGGUUGAUAGGAAAACAUCGCCAAAGAAAGGAGAUGGGUUUUGCAAAGAAAGAAUAUGAAUUUUUUAGUGAGAUCGGAUUGAGUGAGCGCAACCUGGGAUGUUUUGUCAAUGGCACGUGGAAAGCACGUGGCCCUGUGGUUACCACUUUGAAUCCUGCAAACAACCAGACAAUAGCUGAAGUUGUGGAGGGUUCCAUUGAAGAUUAUGAAGAAGGCAUGCAGGCUUGCAGUGAAGCAGCUAAGAUAUGGAUGCAGGUUCCUGCACCAAAGAGAGGUGAGAUUGUCAGACAGAUUGGGGAUGCACUGAGGGCAAAACUUCAGCAACUUGGUCGCCUUGUCUCACUUGAGAUGGGGAAAAUACUUCCUGAAGGCAUAGGAGAAGUUCAAGAAAUCAUUGAUAUGUGCAACUUUGCUGUUGGAUUAAGCCGGCAACUGAAUGGAUCAAUAAUACCAUCAGAGCGUCCUAAUCAUGCCAUGUUGGAGAUGUGGAAUCCUCUCGGGAUAGUUGGUGUGAUUACAGCUUUCAACUUCCCAUGUGCUGUUCUAGGAUGGAAUGCAUGCAUUGCACUGGUCUGCGGCAAUUGUGUUGUUUGGAAAGGUGCACCAACAACUCCUUUGAUAACUAUAGCAAUGACUAAGCUGGUAGCUGGAGUGCUAGAAAAGAACAGCUUACCUCCUGCAAUUUUUACAUCCUUUUGUGGUGGUGCUGACAUUGGUCAAGCAAUAGCAAAAGACACACGCAUUCCUCUGGUUUCAUUUACUGGGAGUUCAAAGGUUGGCUUGAUGGUGCAACAAACAGUGAAUCAGAGAUUCGGUAAAUGCUUGCUUGAACUAAGUGGAAACAAUGCUAUAAUAGUAAUGGAUGAUGCAGAUAUUCAGUUAGCUGUUCGUUCCAUUUUGUUUGCUGCUGUUGGGACAGCUGGUCAGCGGUGCACAACAUGUCGUAGGCUGCUUCUUCACGAGAGCAUAUAUGACAGAGUAAUUGAUCAACUACUUAGUGUAUACAAACAAGUUAAAGUUGGGGAUCCGUUGGAAAAAGGUACCUUGCUUGGGCCAUUGCAUACUUCUGAAUCAAGAAAGAAUUUUGAAAAGGGAAUAGAGACCAUUAAGUCCCAGGGAGGGAAGAUCCUAACAGGCGGUUCUGUUAUAGAAUCCGAAGGCAAUUAUGUGCAGCCUACAAUUGUUGAGAUUUCGCCAAAGGCAGAUGUCGUUAAGGAGGAGUUAUUUGCUCCUGUUCUUUAUGUUAUGAAAUUUCAGACUUUACAAGACGCGAUUGAAAUAAACAAUUCAGUGCCUCAAGGACUAAGCAGUUCGAUCUUCACCCGCAAACCUGAAGUUAUCUUCAAAUGGAUCGGGCCACAAGGAAGUGACUGUGGCAUUGUGAAUGUAAAUAUACCAACAAAUGGUGCUGAAAUUGGUGGUGCUUUCGGCGGCGAAAAAGCUACAGGAGGUGGCCGUGAAGCAGGAAGUGAUUCUUGGAAACAGUACAUGCGACGAUCGACUUGGUAAAUUUGAUCAAACACUCCAAUGGCUUCAUUUGCCUUAUCAUCUCAAUUUGCAUGGCUUGUACUAUAAAUUACGGGAAUGAAUUACCACUAGCACAAGGCAUCAACUUCGGCUCAUAGAAACACAUUAAGAAGCAUUCUGGGAGGUUGAGAGCAAAGCUUUGGGCUCAGAGCUUUUGUGAUUACAACUAGAUUUUAGCUAGAGAAAGAGUCUCUUGACAAAUUAUAUUGAUAAUAAUAGUUCACUGCUUCAUCCAAA